rnacentral:rRNA from 1 species
AACGCUAGCUACAGGCUUAACACAUGCAAGUCGAGGGGAAACGACAUCGAAAGCUUGCUUUCGAUGGGCGUCGACCGGCGCACGGGUGAGUAACGCGUAUCCAACCUGCCCACCACUUGGGGAUAACCUUGCGAAAGUAAGACUAAUACCCAAUGAUAUCUCUAGAGGGCAUCUGAAAGAGAUUAAAGAUUUAUCGGUGAUGGAUGGGGAUGCGUCUGAUUAGCUUGUUGGCGGGGUAACGGCCCACCAAGGCAACGAUCAGUAGGGGUUCUGAGAGGAAGGUCCCCCACAUUGGAACUGAGACACGGUCCAAACUCCUACGGGAGGCAGCAGUGAGGAAUAUUGGUCAAUGGGCGGAAGCCUGAACCAGCCAAGUAGCGUGCAGGAUGACGGCCUUAUGGGUUGUAAACUGCUUUUAUACAGGAAUAAAGUUAGCCACGUGUGGUUAUUUGUAGGUACUGUAUGAAUAAGGACCGGCUAAUUCCGUGCCAGCAGCCGCGGUAAUACGGAAGGUCCAGGCGUUAUCCGGAUUUAUUGGGUUUAAAGGGAGCGUAGGCCGUCUGUUAAGCGUGUUGUGAAAUGUAGAUGCUCAACAUCUGAAUUGCAGCGCGAACUGGCAGACUUGAGUGUGCGCAACGUAGGCGGAAUUCGUGGUGUAGCGGUGAAAUGCUUAGAUAUCACGAAGAACUCCGAUUG